GAGAUGUUGGGUUAAGUCCGGCAACGAGCGCAACCCACAUCCUUAGUUGCCAGCAGUUCGGCUGGGCACUCUAGGGAAACUGCCGGUGAUAAGCCGGGAGGAAGGUGUGGAUGACGUCAAGUCCUCAUGGCCCUUACGGGUUGGGCUACACACGUUGCUACAAUGGCGG
rnacentral:rRNA from 1 species